AUACGUAGGUGGCAAGCGUUGUCCGGAAUUAUUGGGCGUAAAGCGCAUGUAGGCGGUUUGGUAAGUCGGUCGUGAAAAUGCGGUGCUUAACGCCGUAUGGCAAUCGAAACUGCUGAACUUGAGUGCAGGAGAGGAAAGGGGAACUCCCAGUGUAGCGGUGAAAUGCGUAGAUAUUGGGAAGAACACCAGUGGCGAAGGCGCCUUUCUGGACUGUGUCUGACGCUCAGAUGCGAAAGCCAGGGUAGCGAACGGGAUUAGAUACCCCGGUAGUCCUGGCCGUAAACGAUGGGUACUAGGUGUGGGAGGUAUCGACUCCUUCCGUGCCGGAGUUAACGCAAUAAGUACCCCGCCUGGGGAGUACGGCCGCAAGGCUUAAACUUAAAGGAAUUGGCGGGG
rnacentral:rRNA from 1 species